rnacentral:rRNA from 1 species
UCCAGACUCCUACGGGAGGCAGCAGUGAGGAAUAUUGGUCAAUGGCCGGAAGGCUGAACCAGCCAUGCCGCGUGAAGGUCAGUGCCCUAUGGGCGUUAAACUUCUUUUGUGCGGGAGCAAUAAUGGUCACGUGUGGCCAGACGAGAGUACCGUACGAAUAAGCAUCGGCUAACUCCGUGCCAGCAGCCGCGGUAAUACGUAGGUGACAAGCGUUGUCCGGAUUUACUGGGUGUAAAGGGCGCGUAGGCGGAUGUGCAAGUCAGUCGUGAAAUACCGGGGCUCAACCCCGGGGCUGCGAUUGAAACUGCACACCUUGAGUAUCGGAGAGGAAAGCGGAAUUCCUAGUGUAGCGGUGAAAUGCGUAGAUAUUAGGAGGAACACCAGUGGCGAAGGCGGCUUUCUGGACGACAACUGACGCUGAGGCGCGAAAGUGUGGGGAGCAAACAGGAUUAGAUACCCUGGUAGAU